CAGUAGCCGCGGUAAUACGAAGGGUGCAAGCGUUACUCGGAAUUACCGGGCGUAAAGCGUGCGUAGGUGGUGGUUUAAGUCCGUUGUGAAAGCCCUGGGCUCAACCUGGGAAUUGCAGUGGAUACUGGAUCACUAGAGUGUGGUAGAGGAUAGUGGAAUUUCCGGUGUAGCAGUGAAAUGCGUAGAGAUCGGGAGGAACAUCAGUGGCGAAGGCGGCCAUCUGGGACAACACUGACGCUGAGGCACGAAAGCGUGGGGAGCAAACAGGAUUAGAUACCCCCGUAGUCCCUGUCUCUUAUAC
rnacentral:rRNA from 1 species